UUCUCCUGGGAAAGGGUGGUAAUGCCGGAUGCUCCAUCACACUGCAUGGUGUGUUGGGAAAGCCUUUGCGGCAUGGGAUGGGGUCGCGUCCUAUCAGCUUGAUGGCGGGGUAACGGCCCACCAUGGCUUCGACGGGUAGCCGGCCUGAGAGGGCGACCGGCCACAUUGGGACUGAGAUACGGCCCAGACUCCUACGGGAGGCAGCAGUGGGGAAUAUUGCACAAUGGGCGCAAGCCUGAUGCAGCGACGCCGCGUGAGGGAUGGAGGCCUUCGGGUUGUAAACCUCUUUUGUUAGGGAGCAAGGCAUUUUGUGUUGAGUGUACCUUUCGAAUAAGCACCGGCUAACUACGUGCCAGCAGCCGCGGUAAUACGUAGGGUGCAAGCGUUAUCCGGAAUUAUUGGGCGUAAAGGGCUCGUAGGCGGUUCGUCGCGUCCGGUGUGAAAGUCCAUCGCUUAACGGUGGAUCCGCGCCGGGUACGGGCGGGCUUGAGUGCGGUAGGGGAGACUGGAAUUCCCGGUGUAACGGUGGAAUGUGUAGAUAUCGAAA
rnacentral:rRNA from 1 species